AACGAACGCUGGCGGCAGGCUUAACACAUGCAAGUCGAACGGGUGCAGCAAUGCAUCAGUGGCAGACGGGUGAGUAACACGUGGGAACCUUCCUAGGGGUACGGAACAACUCAGGGAAACUUGAGCUAAUACCGUAUACGUCCGUGAGGAGAAAGAUUUAUCGCCCUUAGACGGGCCCGCGUCGGAUUAGCUAGUUGGUGGGGUAACGGCCUACCAAGGCGACGAUCCGUAGCUGAUCUUAGAGGAUGAUCAGCCACACUGGGACUGAGACACGGCCCAGACUCCUACGGGAGGCAGCAGUGGGGAAUCUUGGACAAUGGGCGCAAGCCUGAUCCAGCCAUGCCGCGUGAGUGAAGAAGGUCUUCGGAUUGUAAAGCUCUUUUGCCAGGGACGAUAAUGACGGUACCUGGAGAAUAAGCCCCGGCAAACUUCGUGCCAGCAGCCGCGGUAAAAC
rnacentral:rRNA from 1 species